UCAGGACGAACGCUGGCGGCGUAGCUUAACACAUGCAAGUCGAGCGAUGAAGCUCCUUCGGGAGUGGAUUAGCGGCGGACGGGUGAGUAACACGUGGGUAACCUGCCUCAUAGAGGGGAAUAGCCUUUCGAAAGGAAGAUUAAUACCGCAUAAGAUUGUAGUACCGCAUGGUACAGCAAUUAAAGGAGUAAUCCGCUAUGAGAUGGACCCGCGUCGCAUUAGCUAGUUGGUGAGGUAACGGCUCACCAAGGCGACGAUGCGUAGCCGACCUGAGAGGGUGAUCGGCCACAUUGGGACUGAGACACGGCCCAGACUCCUACGGGAGGCGGCAGUGGGGAAUAUUGCACAAUGGGGGAAACCCUGAUGCAGCAACGCCGCGUGAGUGAUGACGGUCUUCGGAUUGUAAAACUCUGUCUUUAGGGACGAUAAUGACGGUACCUAAGGAGGAAGCCACGGCUAACUACGUGCCAGCAGCGGC
rnacentral:rRNA from 1 species